AAAGCCUAGAGCUAAAUAAGAAAAGCUUUGCUAAUUAGUUUGUUUUGUGAGCUUUCUUUAAGAGUGUGUUCUAUUUUCUUCUUCUUGGGAUCAUUAGAGUUAUCUUGGAUACUCUUCUUAUUCAACACGUCACGCAAUGAACCGGUAAGUCUUUGACUCUGGGACGAUGGAACUGGUAAAACUUGGUGAUUUCUUUCUUCUUUUUUCUUUUAGAGUGCAUCAAAAUCACCAGGCAAUGCAGGGUUAUAUUCAACUUGUUCAAAGUUUUCAAGGUUUUCCCACCACACAUACAACAUAUAUGCUUAAUUUAUUAGAAAAUUGAUUUCAUAAAUCGUACGCAUGCAUAUUUAUAAACGAAAAAAGAAAAACACGUACGUCGAUCCAAGAAAAAGUACUUGCAGAUCACCGAAAAACACGUAGGCCGAUCAAAAUAUUCACCAGGCGUACGGAAAUGGGCAGCCACAGAGAAAUUAAUAUGAUGAUGGCUUGGUUGGUGAGUAUGGCGGUGGCUUGCCCUUAUACACCUCCUUUUACUCCGACUGCGCUGCCUCAAAGACAUUCCAAAUAGGAGAUACAGUUGUGUUGAAUUGGACUGAAACGUGGGGGAAAUAGCAACAAAAGAAGAAUAUGAUAGCUGCGGUGACCCUGGGAUCGUACUGGGACCAGGAGUAAGGACGGAACUCAAUUCUACCGGUUCUCGCUUCUUCAUCUGCACCGUUGGUGACCACCGCGAGCAAGGCCAAAAGGUCAGCAUCACCGUUGGAUCACCAACCACCACCUCCUCUCUGUUAGCUCCUCCACCACCAUCCUCCCACGCUUCAUCUUUCACUACCACUACUCUUCGUACUUUCGUUGGGCUCAUCCCCAUACUUGUAGCAGUAAUUUCCUUAGUCGCUUAAGCUUAGCAGUCGUUUCCAAGAAAUUAAUAUCGUCUAAUCCUCUAUUUUAUUUAUAAAAUAAGCUAUAUUACAAUAAAUGUUCAUUUAUUA